rnacentral:lncRNA from 1 species
CUAAUACCCAGUGGAGUGCAUUAACUCUUAUGAUUGCUUAAAUUGAUUUUACUGUUUUAUCAGUUACUAUUGAACAAAUGAAAGGAUGCUGAUGAAGCAGUGUACUGUAGGCUUGUCUGCAAAGUUUCUCUUGGAGUCAUCUCCAUAUGAAUGAUUUCAUACAGCACAGAAAUAGUUUUAUGUAGAUAUUGACCUUGGAAAGAAACAAAACCAUGGCUUGGUAUUGAGGUUAGGUACAUGGAUCACGAAUUGCCCUGCAAAGAGAAGGCUCUAAUGAGGGUGUCACCAGCCUGCGUCCUCCAUGUUGGUGUGUGGUGGCCACGGCCGGCUGGCAGGUGCUGCGGAGCUGCACCCUCCCCUCCUCAGCAGGUCGGGCAGAAACCAAAGUGGAAAAGUCUGUGGUAGAGAGGAAGCCAGGAAGAUGGCUUAGCAGUUACUGGCAUGUGCAGAUAGACUCAGCUUGGGGACAAUUAGUUUAUUGCCAAUUAAAACCAGAUUGGCCCAGUCAUGGCCUGAGGUGGGGCUGUUGGCACCUGCUGUGACAGGUCUGGGGCAGCUGCGGCCUGUCCUCACAGCACCCUGCAGGCCGCAGUGCGUCAGCACCCCAAAUACUGUGGUGAAACAGCUUGGUAGAUGAACAUGUGCGCUGACCCAUGCAGCUGGUGGUUGAGAGUCUAUAGCCUGCUGAGGGCCUGCUGCUCAGGGAAUGAGGAGGGAAGAGCAGGUGCCGUGGGGAGUAUUCUAAUGGUAGAAGCCUCUGCAAAUUGCCGGAGUGGAAAAAAGGUCUGAAGGAAAGGACGUCCCACCUUCCUUCCCUACAUGGACACAGAUUUGAGGUUCCAAUUAAAACCGUGUUUGGGCCAUUGCUUUGCCUGCCAGUGCUUAAUCUUCUCCGAAAGCCUCAUCACUUAUCUAAAACAAAAGAAGAACGAGCAAAAAUGCAACCAUUUCACGUGAAUAAGAUAUAUGGAAGGAACUUGCAAUGUGAGGAAAAAGAAGCAAGAAGCUGGCAACACAAAGUCCCAUGCAGAGUGGUUCCCAGAGAGUUUAUGGAAGAUUGAAAGAUAACAAUAAAAUGGUGACAAUUCUGUUUAGGACA